rnacentral:rRNA from 1 species
CAAUAGCGUAUAUUAAAGUUGUUGCAGUUAAAAAGCUCGUAGUUGGAUUUGCGGCGUACGGUGGGUUCCGGGCACUUGUUGUCUGAGUAACUUGCUGUUGCCAUCCUUGGGUGGAACCUGUGUGGCAUUAGGUUGUCGUGCAGGGGAUGCCCAUCAUUUACUGUGAAAAAAUUAGAGUGUUCAAAGCAGGCUUAUGCCGUUGAAUAUAUUAGCAUGGAAUAAUGAGAUAGGACUUUUUUGCUAUUUUGUUGGUUUGCGCAAAGAGGUAAUGAUUAAUAGGGACAGUUGGGGGUAUUCGUAUUCCAUUGUCAGAGGUGAAAUUCUUGGAUUUUUGGAAGACGAACUACUGCGAAAGCAUUUACCAAGGAUGUUUUCAUUAA